AACGAACGCUGGCGGCAGGCUUAACACAUGCAAGUCGAACGCCCCGCAAGGGGAGUGGCAGACGGGUGAGUAACGCGUGGGAAUCUACCCAACCCUACGGAACAACUCCGGGAAACUGGAGCUAAUACCGUAUACGCCCUACGGGGGAAAGAUUUAUCGGGGAUGGAUGAGCCCGCGUUGGAUUAGCUAGUUGGUGGGGUAAAGGCCUACCAAGGCGACGAUCCAUAGCUGGUCUGAGAGGAUGAUCAGCCACAUUGGGACUGAGACACGGCCCAAACUCCUACGGGAGGCAGCAGUGGGGAAUAUUGGACAAUGGGCGCAAGCCUGAUCCAGCCAUGCCGCGUGAGUGAUGAAGGUCUUAGGAUUGUAAAGCUCUUUCACCGGUGAAGAUAAUGACGGUAACCGGAGAAGAAGCCCCGGCUAACUUCGUGCCAGCCGCCGCCGUAAGAC
rnacentral:rRNA from 1 species